rnacentral:rRNA from 1 species
GACGAACGCUGGCGGCGUGCUUAACACAUGCAAGUCGAACGCUGAGGCUCAGCUUUCUGUGUUGUUGAGUUACCAACGGGUGGGUAACACAUGAGUAACCUGCCCUCUUCUUUGGGAUAACGCCCGUAGACGGGUGCUAGUACCUGAUAUUCACUGAUUCUCGCCUCGUGGUUGGUGGAUAGGUUUUGUCUUUUGUGUGAUGGGCUCGCGGCCUAUCAGCUUGUUGGUUGGUUGAUAGCCUACCAAGGUUUUGAGGGGUAGCCGGCCUGAGAGGGUGACCGGUCAAAUUGGGACGGAGAUACGCCCCAGACGCAGACGGGAGGAAGGAGUGGGGAAUAUUGCACAAAGGGCGAAAGCAUGAUGCAGCGACGAGGGGUGAGGGAUGGAGGCCUUCGGGUUGCAAACAUCUUUCGAUAAUGGUCAAGCAGCAGAUUUGGGUUGUGGUGAGGGUAGUGGGUCAAGAAGCGCCGGCUAACUACGUG